rnacentral:rRNA from 1 species
GAUGAACGCUGGCGGCGUGCCUAAUACAUGCAAGUCGAGCGAACAGAUGAGGAGCUUGCUCUUCUGACGUUAGCGGCGGACGGGUGAGUAACACGUGGAUAACCUACCUAUAAGACUGGGAUAACUUCGGGAAACCGGAGCUAAUACCGGAUAAUAUAUUGAACCGCAUGGCUCAAUAGUGAAAGACGGCUUUGCUUUCACUUAUAGAUGGAUCCGCGCCGCAUUAGCUAGUUGGUAAGGUAACGGCUUACCAAGGCAACGAUGCGUAGCCGACCUGAGAGGGUGAUCGGCCACACUGGAACUGAGACACGGUCCAGACUCCUACGGGAGGCAGCAGUAGGGAAUCUUCCGCAAUGGGCGAAAGCCUGACGGAGCAACGCCGCGUGAGUGAUGAAGGUCUUCGGAUCGUAAAACUCUGUUAUUAGGGAAGAACAAGUGUUUAAGUAACUAUGCACGUCUUGACGGUACCUAAUCAGAAAGCCACGGCUAACUACGUG